rnacentral:lncRNA from 1 species
UAUAUUGGAAUAAUACACUGAAUAAUUGGAGCAAAUCAAUUCAACUUUGUUAUAUUGAAACCAUAAAAAUACAAAUUAAUGAGAUAUGGGUUCCUAGAAUGCCUGAAGUGCAUUACAACUAAGAAAACAAUAACCAGACAUCGAAAUAAUGCCAAAAAUAUUGGAAAGCAAAAGCUACGGUACUUCAGAAUAUUCAUCGCAGAAAAAAAAGUCAACGGCAAGAAAAUAUAUAAUCCAAUACAUUUGAAAAUUGAAAGUAGAGAAGCAUUUGCAUUGAGGCCAACAUACGGGUUCCAAUUAUUUUAACAAACCCAAAGGAAUUACAAAUUGAUGUUUGCGUACCUAAUUUUGCGCAACUGAAACCGAGCUAAACUUGCAGAAAUUGAAGUCUGCGACAAGCUGAAUAAAGCUAUGAAACAGUAGCUGGGCGAAGAUCAACAGAGCACGGUACAACAGCAGAGUCAACAGCAUUUUAGUUCCAAAAUAUUACUUGAAAACCCAGAAAAUGGAAGCACGCAUCAUUAUUUCCAAGCAAUUGCCGAGAUCACGUUUUAAGCCUAUUUUUUUCUAUUUUUAGAAGCUAUUUUAUUUUUUAGACAGCACUGUGGGACGGGGGUGUGUAUGAUAGAUGCAGAUGAAUGGGAGAAGAAGAAGGAACAAAAAGAAAAUGGAGAAGAAUAAGAAGGGCUCAGAUGCUCCGUUUUUCUGUCUAUUUUCACAUAGGAAGGAUUCUAGUUCAUCUUCUUUUUUAGUUCUAGGAUACCAGGGAAUUUAAAGGAUGGGA